AAAGUACUAAAAACAACAACAACAGCAACACACACACAACUGAAUGUUUCUUAAUAAAAUUUAAAAGAAUUUAAAAAAUCUAAGUUUAUCCUCUGCUUUAGUUACUACCAGAGAUUCAGAAGUCUCUUACACAAUUCGCAAUUUUAUUCUGAAAACAAGGCAAACAGAUUUAAAAUAAAGCCAAAACAGUAUAUGAUUGUAGUGAAUUGAGUGGUGUCUCCCAAAAGAACUCAUGUUUACCCAGAAUCUCAAAAGGGUAUCUUAUUUGGAAUAAAGGUCCUUGCAUAUGUAAUUAAGGUAAGAUUAGUAAUAAGAUCAUAUUGGCUUAGGGUGGGAUCUGAUACCUGGUGUCCUUUUAAGAAGAGAAGAGAACACAGAUAGGAGAGAAGGCUGUGUGAAGAGGGAGUUAGAGCCUGAAGUCAGGCUGCUGCAAGCCAAGGAAGACCAGAAGCCACCAGAAGCUGGAAGAGGCAAGGAAAGAUUCUCUCCCGGAGCCUUGGAAGGGAGUGUACCCCUGCUGUCACCGUGAGUUUGGACAUCUGGCUUCCAGAAUGAUAUUCUGAUCAUCUUAUUCUGGAAGAAGUGAGUUAUCAGUUGUCCAUAAAGUCCUGCAGACUUUUCAUAAACUGAACUUUUCAUUGAUCAUGACCCUUAUCCUACAUAACCCAAGUCAUCAAGACCUAUGCAGUGGAGAGGCUAAAUUAUGGCAGGACUGUGCUCCACAGGGAAGAAAUGUGGUCCCUCAAUACAAGCCGUGUCCUCAAUAGAGAUCUGCAGUGCAAUUGUGCCCAUGUGUGUGCUUUCUACAUGAUUUCUGGUCAUCUGUGAGCUUGAUUUCUCUUGUCUUGCCAUGGUCUUAAGUGAACAGUUUUAUCAGCUUUUGGACAUACGUAUAUACGUGUGUGACCAACACUCCAACCAAUGCUGAGAACAUUUCCAUCGCUCCGGAUUUAAGUGAAUGGUGCCUCUGGAUGUUUGCAUUGCACUAUCUGUGUGGACCUUUGUGGUGGUCCAGCAGGCAGCUUUGAUGAAGAUCCACUGAUACACAAGAUAUUGAACAGAUUAUUUGGCAAGAUAAUUAUAUUCUGCUUUUUGGUUUACCAAGUACAUUCCCAUAUACUAUCUCAGCAUAUCCUUUCAAAUGAUGAAGAUAAUGAUAAUAAUAAUGCAAUAACAUCAUCAAUAACAA
rnacentral:lncRNA from 1 species